rnacentral:rRNA from 1 species
UCGAGGGGCAGCAUUUUAGUUUGCUUGCAAACUAAAGAUGGCGACCGGCGCACGGGUGAGUAACACGUAUCCAACCUGCCGAUAACUCAGGGAUAGCCUUUCGAAAGAAAGAUUAAUACCUGAUGGCAUAGGAUUAUCGCAUGAUAAUCCUAUUAAAGAAUUUCGGUUAUCGAUGGGGAUGCGUUCCAUUAGGCAGUUGGUGAGGUAACGGCUCACCAAACCUUCGAUGGAUAGGGGUUCUGAGAGGAAGGUCCCCCACAUUGGAACUGAGACACGGUCCAAACUCCUACGGGAGGCAGCAGUGAGGAAUAUUGGUCAAUGGACGGGAGUCUGAACCAGCCAAGUAGCGUGAAGGAUGACUGCCCUAUGGGUUGUAAACUUCUUUUAUACGGGAAUAAAGUGAUCCACGUGUGGGUUUUUGUAUGUACCGUAUGAAUAAGGAUCGGC